GAUGAACGCUGGCGGCGUGCCUAAUACAUGCAAGUCGAGCGAACGGACGAGAAGCUUGCUUCUCUGAUGUUAGCGGCGGACGGGUGAGUAACACGUGUAUAACCUACCUAUAAGACUGGGAUAACUUCGGGAAACCGUAUCUAAUACCGGAUAAUAUUUUGAACCGCAUUGUUCAAAAGUGAAAGACGGUCUUGCUGUCACUUAUAGAUGGAUCCGCGCUGCAUUAGCUAGUUGGUAAGGUAACGGCUUACCAAGGCAACGAUGCAUAGCCGACCUGAGAGAGUGAUCGGCCACACUGGAACUGAGACGCGGACCAGACUCCUACGGGAGGCAGCAGUAGGGAAUCUUCCGCAGUGGGCGAAAGCCUGACGGAGCAACGCCGCGUGAGUGAUGAAGGUCUUCGGAUCGUAAAACUCUGUUAUUAGGGAAGAACAUAUGUGUAAGUAACUGUGCACAUCUUGACGGUACCUAAUCAGAAAGCCACGGCUAACUACGUG
rnacentral:rRNA from 1 species